UACGGGGGGGGCAAGCGUUGUUCGGAAUUACUGGGCGUAAAGGGCUCGUAGGCGGCCAACUAAGUCGAACGUGAAAUCCCCGGGCUCAACCCGGGAACUGCGUCCGAUACUGGAAGGCUUGAAUCCGGGAGAGGGAUGUGGAAUUCCAGGUGUAGCGGUGAAAUGCGUAGAUAUCUGGAGGAACACCGGUGGCGAAGGCGACAUCCUGGACCGGUAUUGACGCUGAGGCGCGAAAGCCAGGGGAGCAAACGGG
rnacentral:rRNA from 1 species